rnacentral:lncRNA from 1 species
UGAAGAUUAAUUUAAUUGAAAAGUGAAGUAGAAGUGGUUGUGGUGAGUGAGGAGACACGGGGCCUGUUCCACACCAUACGUAUCCUCUGAUCUCUUUCACAUUCUCCGCACGAAUGCCUACUUUUUCCCUCUCUUUCUUUCUUUCUCUUUUCUUUUAUCCAAAUAAAUACCACUUCACGUGCAAUCACAUUUUCUCAUUAUUCAUCGCCUUUUUCAUCUUUUUCUUCUAUGCAUUCACUCUUUCACACCCAUCUCAUUCAUAUGCCAUUCAUCCCCCUCUCCACCCUUUUCACUUCUCCUCUCUUUAUUUCUUCAUCUUUCAUUUUUCUUAGGCUUAAUAUCUCCCUUGGUCCUCGUAUUUGUAUGAAAAUCUCAGUUCGAUCCUCAAGUUUUAAACUGUCUCAAUUGGAUUAUAAUUUUUGUAAAAAUGCACACAUUUUACUCUAACCGUUAAC